UUUCGGAACUCCUGUCAGUUUCUAUUUGAUCUUAAAUGUCUGGAAUCCGAAUAGAUAUGCGGCCUAAACAACUUUAUACAAUAGAUACCAAAAUCGAGUGAUUACCGACAUCAAUUAUAUAUCUCGUUUGGCGAAAAACAUAUGAAAUGGAUUCACCGUGCCGUAUUUAGCCAGCUCGGUUCACAAAUUUUAUCUUGCACUCUAUGAUCGCACGGUGAGAAAAAUAUUCCAUCGCUAUAGUUUCUUGAUCAGCCCCGUUGGGAUGUCGAAUCUCAAGUCUUUCUGAUGUAGUCAAGUGGAAUGUCUUCAACGGGAGUGAUCUGAUGUUGAAAUUUGAGUUUUUGUAUAUACUUAAGUCAAGUGUUUUCAUUAAGAGUGAUUUGAUUUUGAAUCAGAAGUAGCAAUUACAUAAUUCGCGUGUAUAA